AAGUCGUAACAAGGUUUCCGUAGGUGAACCUGCGGAAGGAUCAUUUCCAAAAAAACAAAACUUUAAAUACAACGUUUCGUCUUGUAUCUUUGGAAACAAAGAUAGAAGCGAGAUUAUGUGAACUGUUAAUAUUCUUUUUAUGUACUCUUGAAGAGUUAAAUUGGAGAGAGUACAUUUUUAAACAUAACCAAUUGAAACUCCAACAAGAUGUGUUUAAUAGCAAUCUCUGGAUUGAUAUUUUAUAUGUCGAAGUUGAACACUUUUUAUUUUUACAAACUUUUUGUUUUGAUAUGCAAAUAUUAAAGCAGAAAUCAAAAAAAAUAUUAUGACAACUUUUAACGGUGGAUCUCUUGGCUCGU
rnacentral:misc_RNA from 1 species